UACAGAGGGGGCAAGCGUUGUUCGGAAUUACUGGGCGUAAAGGGCGCGUAGGCGGCCGCCUAAGUCAGACGUGAAAUCCCUCGGCUCAACCGAGGAAUUGCGCCCGAUACUGCAGUGCUUGAGGGAGACAGAGGUAAGCGGAACUGAUGGUGGAGCGGUGAAAUGCGUUGAUAUCAUCAGGAACACCGGUGGCGAAAGCGGCUUACUGGGUCUCUUCUGACGCUGAGAUACGAAAGCUAGGGUAGCGAAGGGG
rnacentral:rRNA from 1 species